UACGUAGGGUGCGAGCGUUAAUCGGAAUUACUGGGCGUAAAGCGUGCGCAGGCGGUUUUGUAAGCCCGAUGUGAAAUCCCCGGGCUUAACCUGGGAAUGGCAUUUGGGACUGCAAGGCUGGAGUGUGGCAGAGGAGACUGGAAUUCCCGGUGUAGCAGUGAAAUGCGUAGAUAUCGGGAGGAAUACCGAUGGCGAAGGCAGGUCUCUGGGCUGACACUGACGCUCAUGCACGAAAGCGUGGGGAGCAAACAGG
rnacentral:rRNA from 1 species